GCUUCGGUGGCCUAGUGGUUAGAGCGUCCGCCUCGAAUGCGGGAGGUAGACGAUUCGAUCACCGGCUGAGUCA